UACGAAGGGGGCUAGCGUUGUUCGGAAUUACUGGGCGUAAAGCGCGCGUAGGCGGCGAUCCAUGUCAGGGGUGAAAUCCCGGGGCUCAACCCCGGAAUUGCCUUUGAAACGGGAUUGCUAGAGUCCGAGAGAGGAUGGCGGAAUUCCUAGUGUAGAGGUGAAAUUCGUAGAUAUUAGGAAGAACACCGGUGGCGAAGGCGGCCAUCUGGCUCGGUACUGACGCUCAGGCGCGAAAGCGUGGGGAGCAAACAGG
rnacentral:rRNA from 1 species